rnacentral:rRNA from 1 species
UACGAAGGGGGCUAGCGUUGCUCGGAUUGACUGGGCGUAAAGGGCGCGUAGGCGGUUUGCACAGUCAGACGUGAAAUUCCUGGGCUCAACCUGGGGGCUGCGUUUGAUACGUGUAGACUUGAGUGCGGAAGAGGGUCGUGGAAUUCCCAGUGUAGAGGUGAAAUUCGUAGAUAUUGGGAAGAACACCGGUGGCGAAGGCGGCUCACUGGCCCGGAACUGACGCUGAGACGCGAAAGCGUGGGGAGCAAACAGG